CGGGACGUAGCGCAGCCUGGUAGCGUACAUGCAUGGGGUGCAUGUGGUCGGAGGUUCAAAUCCUCUCGUCCCGACCA
rnacentral:tRNA from 1 species